rnacentral:rRNA from 1 species
GACGAACGCUGGCGGCGUGCUUAACACAUGCAAGUCGAACGGAAAGUCCCUUCUUUUGUGGGGUGCUCGAGUUGCUUACUGGUGAUUAACACGUGAGUAACCUGCCCUUGACUUUGGUAUAACUUCAGGAAACUGGGGCUAAUACCGGUUAGGAGCUCCUGCUGCAUGGUGGGUGUUGGAAAGUUUCGGCGGUUGGGGAUUGGCUCGCGGCUUAUCAGCUUGUUGGUGGGGUAGUGGCUGACCAAGUCUUUGACGGGUAGCCGGCCUGAGAGGGGGACCGGCCACAUUGGGACUGAGAUACGGCCCAGACUCCUACGGGAGGCAGCAGUGGGGAAUAUUGCAGAAUGGGCGGAAGCCUGAUGAAGCAACGCCGCGUGCGGGAUGACGGCCUGCGGGUGGUAAACCGAUUUCGCCUGUGACGAAGAGUGAGUGGCGGUAAUGGGUAAAGAAGCAACGGCUAACUACGUG